GGGAGGGAGAAAGACAGACAAAAUCAAAGCUUUGCUUGUCUUCUUUUUCUCCGUCUGGGGUUUUUAUUUUAUUUUUUAUUUUUGUUUUUUAUCGUCCUCAAAGUUGUCCUCGCUUCGCAUUCGUUACCCAUCCCGAGAAACGGGCAGGAAAAGUUCUUCAAUUUUUUUGCAACUUGGCUCAUCCCUAAAGCAGCUUUUUAAAAAGUUUUUUUCUUCUUUCCCACCCAGGGGAUGGGAGUUGACCAAAAAGGGAUCUCUGGAGAGCAGGAAUCUGAAUAAGUGGAUCGUCUUAAAUAUCUUCCUUUUUAAAAUAAUAAUAAUAAUAAUAAUAAUCCCUCGUCUUUGGGAGGGGCCCCGGCUCCAAAGAGGCUGUCAUUUCAGCUAGGAUUUCAAUUUAAUGACCACGUUCAAAGGAUAUCAAAAGUAAUUCCUUCGGGCUGGGCUGGGCUCUCCAUUCCUCACCCCAAAAAAUUUGCUCCUCUUUUGUCUGGAGUUUCCUCCACUGCUUCUCCCUCUCUCUCUCUUUCCCCUGCGGAGCCUCUUCGGCUAGGAAGAGUCUACCUUCAAAAGUCCCCACCCGUCCUUUUCUAUUCCACCGACAGUUAACCCUCACCCCACCCCGCCUCUUCCUAACCACAAUUGAAUCCUUGGAUACUUCCUUCUUUCCUUCCUUCCUUCCUUCCCUGGGUCGAAUAUUCAGGCCAGCCAUUUGAAGGGACACCAGGAGGUCAUCUAGCCUGACCCCCCCCCGCUCCCUGGCACCGCUUCCUCGUCAGAGCGAAACCAGAAAACAACUCCUGCUUCUCUGGUAUGCUCAAUCCACUCUUGGUGUUUAAAAGUUUCCUUUUUAGCAGCUGGAACAGGCCACAGCAUGGAUUUAUUUUUUUAAAAUAUUUUUUGAUUGGCAGGCUAAGGGGUGGGGUGUGUGGGGCGGGGGGGGGGAGUGAGGGGAAACGAUGGGGCCUUGAGGCUGCCCUGCCAAAUCCUUGCAAGGUUUUUAAAAGGUUUCGAACCCUCUCCCCAAAUGGCUCGAAAGAAAAUUCCUUUUGCAGAAAAAGUUCAUUAACCGUCGUUUUCCUUCCUUUCUUCCUUCGCUUUCAUGCCUUUUCCUUUCUCCUGUCUUCCUCUUCUCCCCUCCCCUCUCCUCCUUUUCUCCAUCCUUCCUUUUUCUCCUCCCCUUCCUUCCUCUCUCCUCCCGUCUCCUCUCCUUCCCUUCCUUCCCUCCUUCCUCUCCUCCCUUUCUCCAUCCUUCCAUUUUGUCUUCCUCUCCCUUCCGUCUCCUCCCCUUUUCUCCUGCCUUCUUUCUCCUUUCCCUUCCUUCCUUUCUUCCUCUCCUCUCCUCCCCUUUCCCUCCGUCUUUCCUCCCUUCUUUCUCCUUUAUCUUUUUUUCUCCCUCCCUCCUUCCCUCUUCUUUCUCCUUUCUCCCUGUCCCGUCUUCCCUUCCCUUCCCUACCCUCCUCUCCUAUUUCUCCUUUAACUUUAAUUUAAGCCACGAGAUUUCCUGGCAACGCCUCGGAUGGCAUUCAGGCUUCCUUGCCAGCUGUGACGUUAUGGCCGAAAGAAACGAAAACUUCGGAGCAAAGCGGCGAAAGUUGGAAGAGCUGCGUUCGAAUGGGGCACCCCGGCGGAAGAGCUGCGUUCGAAUCGUGCGCCUGGAUUUUUUUUCCCCACCCCCCGCUUUUCCAGACCGAAUCUCCCUGGAGAGCAGACUGCCUUAAAAGGCUAAAAAAAGACUCAAGAGCUUAAAAUGGAGAACUUGCGCAAGUGAGCCAAGUUGCUUUUUUCUUCUUUUUCUUUUUUCUUUUUCUUUUUUGCAAAAUCGCACUGGAUUUGGACUGCCAUCUCUCUUCUCAGAACCUCCAGCGGUCUCUCGCGAGCCAGGACCCCCUGCCCUGAAAUGCCCAUCUGUCGGUCGGUCGGUCCGUCCGUCCAGGGCGCCGACCGCUCCGCAGCGACGCCAUCCGCAAUCACAUCCCCACCCCCUCCUUA